AUUGAACGCUGGCGGCAGGCCUAACACAUGCAAGUCGAGCGGAUGAAGGGAGCUUGCUCCUGGAUUCAGCGGCGGACGGGUGAGUAAUGCCUAGGAAUCUGCCUGGUAGUGGGGGAUAACGUCCGGAAACGGGCGCUAAUACCGCAUACGUCCUGAGGGAGAAAGUGGGGGAUCUUCGGACCUCACGCUAUCAGAUGAGCCUAGGUCGGAUUAGCUAGUUGGUGGGGUAAAGGCCUACCAAGGCGACGAUCCGUAACUGGUCUGAGAGGAUGAUCAGUCACACUGGAACUGAGACACGGUCCAGACUCCUACGGGAGGCAGCAGGGGGGAAUAUUGGACAAUGGGGGAAAGCCUGAUCCAGCCAUGCCGGGUGUGUGAAGAAGGUCUUCGGUUUGUAAAGCCCUUUAAGUUGGGGGGAAGGGCAGUAAGUUAAUCCCUUGUUGUUUGAACUUUACCAACAGAAAAAGCACCGGCAAACUUCGU
rnacentral:rRNA from 1 species